GAUGAAGAACGCAGCGAAAUGCGAUAAGUAAUGCGAAUUGCAGAAUUCAGUGAGUCAUCGAAUCUUUGAACGCACAUUGCGCCCUGUGGUAUUCCGCAGGGCAUGCCUGUUCGAGCGUCAUUUCAACCCUCAAGCUCUGCUUGGUGUUGGGCCCUGCCCGCUGCGGCCGGCCCUAAAGACAGUGGCGGUGCCGCCUGGCCCUGAGCGUAGUACAUCUCUCGCUCCAGUGCCCGGUGGUAGCCUGCCAGAACCCCAACUCUCGUGGUUGACCUCGGAUCGGGUAGGGAUACCCGCUGAACUUAAGCAUAUCAAUAAGCGGAGGA
rnacentral:misc_RNA from 1 species